AUGGGGAGGGGAGGAGCGGCACCGGCCGGGCCCACAGCCACGUCUACUCCCUGCGCUGUCCAGCGAGGCCUGCCCAGCCACAGGAGUCCCACGCGCUGCAGACACGGGGACCGGGACUCGGAGCCCUUCCUCGGAAGGUGGCGUCCAAGUCCGCGCGGCCACUGCCCACACAGUGGGGCAGCGUGGAGCCAGACGAGUCUGCGCCCCGGAGGGCCCCAGCGUCCAGGGGGAGGCGCGACACUCAGGGCAGCCAUCCGGGUCACCCCAACAGGUGGGCGCUCCCAGACCUGGGCGGAGGCCACCUGCCCAGGACCCCGCCCCGCCACCGGCGCGGCCUCGCCCCUGCCACGCCCCCAACGGGACCACGCCCCCGCCGCACCACGCCCACUCGAGGCCCCAUCCCGGGACCACCCCUGCGGCCACCUGCCCAGCCCCCGCCCCGCCCCAUUGGACCACGCCCCCAUCACGCCACGCCCACUCGAGACCUCCACAGCCUUCACUUGCCCUGCGACUCAGACCCGCCCCCUCGGGACACGCCCUCCAGCCCCGCCCCCUAGAGCCACGCCCUUCCGCCCCUCGGGCCACGCCCUCCCGCCCCUCGGGCCACGCCCCUCGGGCCACGCCCCGGGCCUCCCGCCGCGAACCCCGCCGCAGCAUCUCACCCACUCCGCGGCUCUCGGGUGCGUCCGUGCGCCCCCAGCCCGAGGGGCGGUGCGGGGACCGGCGCCCGGCACCCACACAGCACGGGACGCCCACCCCGCCGCUGGGAGCGCCCAGCCCGGCCGGGUCCGUGACCCUGGGCGCUGCCCAGGCCCCGCGGACUACGCGUCCCGGCGUGUCCCGCGGCCGGAAGCGGGCGGACGGCGGCCGGCGAGGCCCAAACGCCGCGACCGCGAGCUCGCCGCGCGUUCGCUCCCCGUGGAGCGACGGCCUGGGCCGGGCGUGGGGACUGCGCGACCCCCGCAGCCGGCCGGACGGCGCCCGCGGGGACCCGGACAAGGAGCCUGA
rnacentral:lncRNA from 1 species